UUUUACGGUUCUUGAGAGAAUUUCUGUAGCAUUUCAUUCUUUCUUGAUUGGUCUUAAGAAUUUCCCGAGUUUAACUUUACAGCAUUGUCUCUUCGAUCCAUUACGAAAUAAACCACUUUCUUUUCUUUAAUGUAUCUAAGUCAGAUACCCAAUAAUCUUCAGCGGCAACUGCAACAAGCGAAUCCUCAACUAAACCUCAACCGUCCUCAUAAUAUUGGGUUACAGCAUCAGCAAGCAGGCCUUGGACAGCAGGUUGGUAUUUUUCAACAAGAUCAGUAACCAGGCAUUGGACAACAGGAUGGUGUUUUUCAACAAGUGAAUCCUCAACUAAACCUCAACCCUCCUCAUCAUACUGGGUUGCAGAAUCAGCAAGCAGGCCUUGGACAGCAGGAUCAGCAACCAGGCAUUGGACAGCAGGAUGGUGUUUUUCAACAAGUGAAUCCUCAACUAUAAACCUCAACCCUCCUCAUCAUAUUGGGUUGCAACAGCAAGAUGGUAUCAAUGAACAUAGAUGGCCUCCUAAUGAUCAAUUUGGAGGGGCAAAUUUGGAGGGGUUCCAAUAGGAUGAUAUUGGGUAUAUGAUUAAAGAAUCUCAUCAAUAUACCCCGGAUAAAUCUGUCUUGGUGUGA